AUUAAAAUAACCAAAUAAAUAAAACUAAAAUUUUAAAAAUAAUACUAUCAAAAUUUUGGGUGAAACCAAAUUUAGCAGCCCAAACCAAGUUAUAUGGGCUGGCUUGCCACUCAAAUUGGGCCGCAGGUCACAAUUAAGAUGUAGCUUGCAGCUUCUUCCUUUAGUUACCAAAACGACAACGUUUUAAUAUCCAAUAAAAUCCCAAAAAUCAACAGGCUGAUCUCGUUCUUCGCCUCAUUUUCUCUCUCUAACCCAAAAUUCCUGUCCUUUUUCUCUAACCUUUUUAUAAAACUUAACAGUACACUCAUCGGAAACUUCAACUGAACCUAGGUUCCGACGAAGCUCUAUAGCUGCCACCGUCGUCAUCGUCGGUACUGAAAACCAAAAAAUAAAUAAAUUCCUUUAUCCUCAAUCUCAUCUUUUUUGUAUCUGCUUCGAUUUCCCUAAAAAGGCCUUAGACUUUUCUAGAUCUAAGCUCCAAGUGGGGUUUUUCUGGCCCUCCAAACGCCAUCUAUUGCUUGCCAAAUCCUAAAACAGCGAUAAAAGCUACAUACGACACAACAAGUUCAAGACAACGGUAACAGAGAUGGAGAAAGGUAAAUAGUUGAGUGGAAGUCUCCUCAGCUUUGGGCAAUUUUGAACGUGAAUUUCCUUUAUACAUGAGAUGGGUAGUGCAUUCCAGUAAAUGCUCUGCAAUUCUGGUAGCUUCCUUAAAUCUUCUACAAAAGCAUUCCUCAAAUUUGGAGCGAGAAUAAGCCAUGUUAUGUUCCUCAAUUUUGAGCAGUUGAUCAUGAUUACCUUGUGGAGGCUUUGGAAGCAAUAUUGGGUUACAAUCACAGAGGUUUGAAUGCGGUUCUGUGCUUUUGUCAUUCUGCCUUCCCCUGCCCACUCCAUCUUCACUUCUUCCAAACUUUCACAACUCGCAACUGCUAG